CUGGAAGUUAUUUAAAUAAAUGCGAUGGAUCUCCAAGGGCUGGAGGAGUGACACUUAUAUUGCCACCAGGCCACGUGUUGAGGGAACACCAGCCGCCCGUGUGAGGAGCAGCACAGUGGGAGGCUCUCUCACUUCCUCCUGCUCCAACGACAAGUCCAGCUGCAAAGGCAGCGAAAGCGUUGCCCUCCCACAUCUGCACACGCUCCCAGGAGGCAGGUGGUCCAGCCUCUGUCAGGCAGAGGAAUUCCCUGACUCAGUGCACGCCAUCCAUCCGCUGGAAAGGUCACUAUUGGCCCUGUGAAAACAAGAGGCCCUCUCAGUCUGGCUGCCCAGCUGGCUGCUCUUCAUUUACUGACCCUGCAAUCGAUAGCCCAUUGCCCAUUCAUCAGAGGAGCGGCCCGGGUGCUCGUGGGCCGGACCGGUCCGCCCCGCCCACGCAGACCAGCGUCACUGGACAGCCGCUUCAUUCCAAUCACUCACUGUGACAACAACCACCCGUGCAGCAGACCACAAACUGUUUAGGCACCGUGCUGCAGUUCGUGACUUUAUUUUCGUACACUGGGCACAAGAGCAACGCAUGCUCAUCAAACAAUGGAUGAUGCUGAGCAGGUGACAGGUGAUGGACCCUCCUGUGACACGAGCCACAUCUAUCCCAUUGCCUCGUACCUUAUUGGAGUAGGGCGGCUUGGAGAGGUUGAUGCCAUCCCUGAUGAGUUUAUCCCUGAUCAUGAUCUUCAGCUUCAGCUUGGG